CUUGCACAAUCAGCCUGAAAAAGGCAGAUAGUCCAGCAGAAAGAAAUUACCCCAGCAGAAAAAUCACUCUCAAGAUCAGGCCUGGGAGACAGGAGACAAGCAAGCAAACCAGAUGAACAAGGAUAACAAAACUGGAAAUUGAAGAACAGCUUAUCCUGCCUUCUCUCCUAAGUUUCCUGAGUUGUUCUGCGUGUGCCUGCGUGAAUGGCACAGAGGCAGCUGCUCCUAACAGGAACCAGUAUCUCAUCAGGACGGGUACACCGUCAGCCUGCCUCUGCAUGUGCUGGAAAACAUCAGGAGAUGGAAAUGGCUGUCUGGAAUCUCUGGAGGUUUGUGUUUAACGUUUUGACUCAUCCAAGUAAAAGGAAACUGAAAGAUUUUGCUGUGGCCCAAAGCAAGAGCUCUGACUGAACUCCUAUCGUCUGUGUUUGCCCAGGGUAAUGGUGACACAGAAUAUGAAUUCUUCUUUCUGCAGCCUAGGUACUUUGCUUCGUUAGACAUUGCCUCGCCAAAAAUCAUCCCCACCUCACUUAGCAGAGGUGAGUUGCUGAAGAAUACCACAGGGAAAACCACUUUUAAAGUAUAAUCCUGGAAAUGCUUAUGCCUGAGCUGUCCUAGUGAAGCCUAUGUCUGACUCACAGAGUUACACAAGCACAUUUCCGUCUGUAAAAGAGCCAGAGCUUUUCCAGAACAUCCACUGCAGGUCUUAACAGAAGCUCAAGAGAAAUCUCAAGUGUCCAGGUAAUGUAGUGAAUAAUAAAGGUUCUGUGUAUAGUUAUGUAUA